rnacentral:rRNA from 1 species
AGUCGAACGGCAGCACGGACUUCGGUCUGGUGGCGAGUGGCGAACGGGUGAGUAAUGUAUCGGAACGUGCCUAGUAGCGGGGGAUAACUACGCGAAAGCGUAGCCCUUCGCAUACCGCCCUUCGGGGGAAAGCGGGGGACCUUCGGGCCUCGCACUAUUAGAGCGGCCGAUAUCGGAUUGGCUAGUUGGUGGGGUAACGGCUCACCAAGGCGACGAUCCGUAGCUGGUUUGGAGGACGACCAGCCACACUGGGACUGAGACACGGCCCAGACUCCUACAGGAGGCAGCAGUGGGGAAUUUUGGACAAUGGGGAAACCCUGAUCCAGCCAUCCCGCGUGUGCGAUGAAGGCCUUCGGGUUGUAAAGCACUUUUGGCAGGAAAGAAACGGCACGGGAUAAUACCCCGUGCAACUGACGGUACCUGCAGAAUAAGCACCGGCUAACUACGUGCCUGCAGCCGCGGUAAUGCGUAGAAUUCUGCAAGCGUUAAUCAGGUACUGGGCGUAGAGCGUGCGCAGGCGGUUCCGGAAGAAGAUGUGAAAUCCCAGAGCUUAACUUUGGAACUGCAUUUUUAACUACCGAGCUAGAGUGUGUCAGAGGGAGAGUGGAGAUUCCGCGUGUAGCAGUGAAAUGCGUAGAUAUGCAGAGGGAACACCGAUGGCGAAGGCGGCCUCCUGGGAUAACACUGACGCUCAUGCACACGAAAGCGUGGGGAGCAAACAGGAUUAGAUACCUGGUAGUCCACGCUGAAAGCUUGAUAUCCAGCAGCUGUUGGGGCCUUCGGGCCUUGGUAGCGCAACUAACGCGUGAAGUUGACCGCCUGGGAAGUACGGUCGCAGAUUAAAACUCAAAGGAAUUGACGGGGACCGCACAAGCGGUGGAUGAUGUGGAUUAAUUCGAUGCAACGCGAAAAACCUUACCUACCCUUGACAUGUCUGGAAUCCCGAAGAGAUUUGGGAGUGCUCGCAAGAGAACCGGAACACAGGUGCUGCAUGGCUGUCGUCAGCUCGUGUCGUGAGAUGUUGAGUUAAGUCCCGCAACGAGCGCAACCCUUGUCAUUAGUUGCUACGAAGGGCACUCUAAUGAGACUGCCGGUGACAAACCGGAGGAAGGUGGGGAUGACGUCAAGUCCUCAUGGCCCUUAUGGGUAGGGCUUCACACGUCAUACAAUGGUCGGGACAGAGGGUCGCCAACCCGCGAGGGGAGCCAAUCCCAGAAACCCGAUCGUAGUCCGGAUCGCAGUCUGCAACUCGACUGCGUGAAGUCGGAAUCGCUAGUAAUCGCGGAUCAAUGUCGCGGUGAAUACGUUCGGGUCUUGUACACACCGCCCGUCACACCAUGGGAGUGGGUUUUACCAGAAGUAGUUAGCUAACCGUAAAGGCGAUUACCACAGUAGGAUUCAUGACUGGGGGUGAAGUCGUAACAAGGUAG